AUUGAACGCUGGCGGCAUGCCUUACACAUGCAAGUCGAGCGGCAGCACGGGUGCUUGCACCUGGUGGCGAGUGGCGAACGGGUGAGUAAUACAUCGGAACGUACCUUAUCGUGGGGGAUAACGCAGCGAAAGCUGUGCUAAUACCGCAUACGCCCUGAGGGGGAAAGCGGGGGAUCGCAAGACCUCGCGCGAUUAGAGCGGCCGAUGCCUGAUUAGCUUGUUGGUGGGGUAAAAGCCCACCAAGGCGACGAUCAGUAGCUGGUCUGAGAGGACGAUCAGCCAAACAGGGGCUGCGACACGGCCCAGACUCCUACGGGAGGCAGCAGUGGGGAAUUUUGGACAAUGGGGGCAACCCUGAUCCAGCAAUGCCGCGUGAGUGAAGAAGGCCUUCGGGUUGUAAAGCUCUUUUGUCAGGGAAGAAACACCGGCUCUAACACAGUCCGGGAAUGACGGUACCUGAAGAAUAAGCACCGGCUAACUACGUGCCAGCAGCCGCCGUAA
rnacentral:rRNA from 1 species